GGGCCUGUAGCUCAACGGCAGAGCAGAUCCCUCAUAAGGAUUUGGUUAGGGGUUCGAAUCCCUUCAGGCCCACCA
rnacentral:tRNA from 1 species